rnacentral:tmRNA from 1 species
GGGGAUGAUCGGUUUCGACAUUGCCUGUAUGCGAACGAGAAGCGGGCCGAGGAUGUGGGGUUAUCUCGUAAACGCUCCCCGCAAAACAAUAAGUGCCAAUAAAAAGAGCACUGACUUCGCUCUCGCUGCGUAAGCAGUAGAGCCCUAAAAGUCCGUCAGACCGGUGACCGUUCUCUAACCGGAUCCUGGCGUCAGCUAGAGAACUCGCUGCACGGUUGCGUCACAGGGCCGCGCGGGACUUCCACUGCGACUGGGCUCGUCCACCUAGAUGCCGAUAGCAAAGGUGGGAGCCGAGCAGAACGAAUCAAUCGGCUACACCCGUAGAAGGCGUUCAAUCUCAGCAGUGGACGGGGGUUCAAUUCCCCCCAUCUCCACCA